rnacentral:tmRNA from 1 species
CCCCUUGCGUCACAGGGCGCGCGCGCCUAUCUUCGUCGAGUCCCGCAAGGGACUAUGGUGAUAAACGCGCGUGCAAUAAGCGGAUCGGACCCGGGGGCGGUACCCGGCGGCUCCACCAAACUCCCACAUUGGCGGGACAGCGGGGCCGAAACAGGAUCGACGGACGUGUAAAGACGUUAGCUUUCACUCGGCAGGACGCCACCGUUACCGGCUCAAGCAUGAUAGUUGCCAAUGACAACCGUGCUCCGGUCGCGCUCGCUGCGUAAGCAGUGCGCAAGAUCGAAAACUAAGUCCUGAUCUCUAGCAAGAUCAGGCGGGGUUCGCAGGCACCUGGCAACAGAAGCCUGCACU